rnacentral:piRNA from 1 species
GAGCCGAGGUACUGAAUCCAGUUACGGU